AUUGAACGCUGGCGGAAUGCUUUACACAUGCAAGUCGAACGGCAGCACGGACUUCGGUCUGGUGGCGAGUGGCGAACGGGUGAGUAAUGUAUCGGAACGUGCCCAGUCGUGGGGGAUAACGUAGUGAAAAUUACGCUAAUACCGCAUACGAUCUAUGGAUGAAAGCGGGGGAUCGCAAGACCUCGCGCGAUUGGAGAGGCCGAUAUCAGAUUAGGUAGGUGGUGGGGUAAAGGCCCACCAAGCCAACGAUCUGUAGCUGGUCUGAGGGGUCGACAAGCCACACUGGAACUGAGACACGGUCCGGACUCCUACGGAAGGCAGCAGUGGGGAAUUUUGGAAAAUGGGCGAAAGCCUGAUCCAUCCAUACCGCGUGCAGGAUGAAGGCCCUCGGGUUGUAAACUGCUUAUGUACAGAACGAAAAGGUUUCUACUAAUACUAGGAGCUCAUGACGGUACUGUAAGAAUAAGCACCGGCUAACUACGUGCCAGCAGCCGCCGUAA
rnacentral:rRNA from 1 species